rnacentral:rRNA from 1 species
GAUGAACGCUAGCGGCGGGCUUAAUACAUGCAAGUCAAGGGGUAGCAAUACACCGGCGUACGGGUGCGUAACGCGUAUGGAACCUGCCCUUAUCUGGGGGAUAACUCGGGGAAACUCGAGCUAAUACCGCAUAAGAUAGUAGAGAGGCAUCUCUUAGCUAUUAAAGAUUUAUCGGAUAAGGAUGGCCAUGCGUAAGAUUAGAUAGUUGGCGGGGUAACGGCUCACCAAGUCUACGAUCUUUAGGGGCUCUGAGAGGAGAAUCCCCCACACUGGCACUGAGAUACGGGCCAGACUCCUACGGGAGGCAGCAGUAGGGAAUAUUGGGCAAUGGGCGGAAGCCUGACCCAGCCACGCCGCGUGCAGGAAGACGGCCCUCUGGGUUGUAAACUGCUUUUAACUGGGAAGAAAGCAGCUCAUGCGUGAGAAUUUGGCGGUACCAGUUGGAUAAGCCACGGCUAACUACGUGCCAGCAGCCGCCGUAAAAC